rnacentral:rRNA from 1 species
AGAUUGAACGCUGGCGGCAGGCCUAACACAUGCAAGUCGGGCGGUAACAGGGAGAAGCUUGCUUCUCUGCUGACGAGCGGCGGACGGGUGAGUAAUGUAUGGGGAUCUGCCUGAUGGCGGGGGAUAACUACUGGAAACGGUAGCUAAUACCGCAUAAUGUCUUCGGACCAAAGCGGGGGACCUCCGGGCCUCGCGCCAUCAGAUGAACCCAUAUGGGAUUAGCUAGUAGGUGAGGUAACGGCUUACCUAGGCGACGAUCCCUAGCUGGUCUGAGAGGAUGAUCAGCCACACUGGGACUGAGACACGG